rnacentral:rRNA from 1 species
GACGAACGCUGGCGGCGUGCCUAACACAUGCAAGUCGAACGGGGUGAGAUCCUUCGGGGUUUCACUUAGUGGCGAACGGGUGAGUAACGCGUGAGGAACCUGCCUUCCAGUGGGGGACAACAGUUGGAAACGACUGCUAAUACCGCAUAAUGUAGCGAGACCGCAUGAUCUUGCUACCAAAGCUUUAUGUGCUGGAAGAUGGCCUCGCGUCUGAUUAGCUAGUUGGUGAGGUAACGGCUCACCAAGGCGACGAUCAGUAGCCGGUCUGAGAGGAUGAACGGCCACAUUGGGACUGAGAUACGGCCCAGAUUCCUACGGGAGGCAGCAGUGGGGAAUAUUGGGCAAUGGGGGAAACCCUGACCCAGCAACGCCGCGUGAAGGAAGAAGGCC